GUGCUUGUUGGGUGUGUGCGGGGAUGUGUGCGAGUGCGGAGUGUCACCGGGACGGUGACCUUUUAAAGUGGGGGUGUAUGUAACCGGUGGUUAUCCCGAACUUUUAUUCUGACGGGGUAACGACACUCCCCUUUCCUUCAGGUGUGUAGCAUAAAUCAUUGCGGUGGUAGCUAGUUAGCAAAGACGCCGUGUUUUUGAUGCUGUCGAGUGUAGCGUGGGCACACCGCUCUCUCUGUCCCUCUGUUUGUGGUUGAGCCACCGUACAGGAAAGCCCUGUCCAUCGGCGGCUGGCGUGGGGUCGGCUGCUGUUCUGGGAUGGUGUGCUGAGCUGGGCAAACUCAAGUGUCGCUGGUGAUGUUCUUCCACUUUGUGUCCUGUGUGGUUGACUGCUUGCAUGCCGCUUCGAGAGAACCAGAGGUAAUGCCGGCAUUUUCUGUAAGAGUUUCGACGCUUAGCACUUGACUUGUGUAGGGAGUUGUGUGGGGUGGGAGUGGGGGUGCUCCGCAGGUGUGAUGGCGGGACUGGCAGCGUGGUGCCUUUGAUAUCGCGCUGUGGUGUCGUGGUUGCACCUGUGGGAGCGCCCACAUUUCCACAAUACACAACUCCUGUUGAAUCGAGUUAUAAAUGCCGUGCCUAAUGGUAACUUUCUCGUUAAAUGUACAUAGGAGGAGAUGGUGCCUUCGACUACACUGAUGCAGUGUCACUAGAGAAGGGGGGCAUCACUGUUCU